UUAAAUUGAAGAGUUUGAUCAUGGCUCAGAUUGAACGCUGGCGGCAGGCCUAACACAUGCAAGUCGAACGGUAACAGGGAGAAGCUUGCUUCUUUGC
rnacentral:rRNA from 1 species